rnacentral:rRNA from 1 species
AUGGCGGAGAUUGUGAUCCUUCUAGCCAUUAAAAAGAUUGGAAUUGCCUUGGCAAAAGGAGCGGCAGACCAGGCCAGUGUGCAGUUUGCGAAGUAUGGGGCACAACUACUGGAGCUACAGGAUAGCAUGGGUCGUGUUGCCAGGGAGCUUCGAGUAAUGCAUGAUGUUCUUUGUCAAAUGGACAUUCGGAACCGCAGCAAUCAAAUAUAUGAGGGCUGGUUAGAGGAGGUACGCAAAGUAGCACAUGUGAUGGAGGACAUGGUGGAUGAGUACUUGUAUCUAGUUGGUCGAGAACAUGAAAUAGGUUUUUAUUUUUUCCUGAAGAAAGGGUUCAAAAAGCCAAGAUCACUGCUCUGUUUGAAUCAGAUAGCUCUCAGAGUGAAGGAAAUGGAGAAAGACCUUUCACACCUGUCAGAGACAAAAAACCGUUGGGUUCCCAUGAUAAAUAACGGGGAUUCUAGCAACCUCAGUUACAUUGUCAAGAGAUCCCAAGAGCUAGCAAACAUUUCACGCUCACUUGAUGAAGAAGAUCUAGUGGGGGUGGAUAAAAACAGAGAAAAACUUGAGCAGUGGUUGGGGGGUGAUGAUCAGGAAUGCUCUGUGGUAGCUCUGCUCGGGAUGGGAGGUCUUGGUAAAACUGCUUUAGCUGCAAGUGUCUACAAAAAGGAGAGGGAGAAAUUCCAGUGCUAUGCCUGGGUCUCCAUUUCUCAAACUUAUUCUAGAGAAGAUGUCUUGAGAAAUAUGAUCAAACAACUUUUUAAAGAUACUGCCAGUGUUCUAUCUAGUACUCUAGCUAUGGACAUCAUGAGCCUUGAAGAGACACUAAAGAAAUAUCUGGAGCAAAGGAAGUACUUUAUCAUAUUGGAUGAUGUUUGGGAUCCGGAAGCAUUUGAUGAUUUGUCAAGGAUGUUUAUUCAUAAUGAUAAGGGCAGUAGAGUGAUGCUCACAACAAGAGAAGCCCGGGUUGCUGCACUUGCCUCUCGAGGACGUAUCUUAACACUGGAAGCUUUACAAGAAGACAAGGCAUGA